rfam:Lingula anatina scaffold118, whole genome shotgun sequence.
ACAAAGGUCCUUUUCAGGACCACCCAAAUAUCCCAGAAAAGCUAG